rnacentral:rRNA from 1 species
CAGCAGCCGCGGUAAAACGUAGGUGGCAAGCGUUGUCCGGAAUUAUUGGGCGUAAAGGGCUCGCAGGCGGUUUCUUAAGUCUGAUGUGAAAGCCCCCGGCUCAACCGGGGAGGGUCAUUGGAAACUGGGAAACUUGAGUGCAGAGGAGGAGAGUGGAAUUCCACGUGUAGCGGUGAAAUGCGUAGAGAUGUGGAGGAACACCAGUGGCGAAGGCGACUCUCUGGUCUGUAACUGACGCUGAGGAGCGAAAGCGUGGGGAGCGAACAGGAUUAGAUACCCCGGUAGUCCCUGUCUCUUAUAC